UACGUAGGGUGCAAGCGUUGUCCGGAAUUAUUGGGCGUAAAGAGCUCGUAGGCGGUUUGUCGCGUCUGCUGUGAAAUCCCGAGGCUCAACCUCGGGCUUGCAGUGGGUACGGGCAGACUAAAGUGCGGUAGGGGAGAUUGGAAUUCCUGGUGUAGCGGUGGAAUGCGCAGAUAUCAGGAGGAGCACCGAUGGCGAAGGCAGAUCUCUGGGCCGUAACUGACGCUGAGGAGCGAAAGCGUGGGGAGCGAACAGG
rnacentral:rRNA from 1 species